rnacentral:rRNA from 1 species
GUGACACUUGACGGUAAUGAUGCAUGUA